rnacentral:rRNA from 1 species
UACGAAGGGUGCUAGCGUUGCUCGGAAUCACUGGGCGUAAAGCGCACGUAGGCGGACUCUUAAGUCGGUGGUGAAAUCCUGGAGCUCAACUCCAGAACUGCCUUCGAUACUGAGAGUCUCGAGUCCGGGAGAGGUGAGUGGAACUGCGAGUGUAGAGGUGAAAUUCGUAGAUAUUCGCAAGAACACCAGUGGCGAAGGCGGCUCACUGGUCCGGUACUGACGCUGAGGUGCGAAAGCGUGGGGAGCAAACAGG